AUUUUAUGCCUUCCGUGGGGAUGGUGCUGCCUGUUGGUGCGGGGAUGUGGCCAUGGGGCUGAGGCUCAUUCUGGGAAGGAUCUGGGUGCACUGUAGACACUAAGCCUGUCCUUUUGUCAUGCCAGGCAAUGUGGUGAGUUCCCCAGCAAGUCCACCACCCCCAGGUUAGUGAUUCCCUCCUGCACCUCCUGUACCCCCAGGCAGCAGCCCCUCACACAACGCCCAGCUCCCUUCCAGAGGUGAGACAUUGCUCAUCAGCCAUUCCCAGCACACCUGUCCUCCAAGGCUUGCCUUGGCCACACUGUGUUCCUCCUCUCUCCCAGGCUCAGCCAUGCCCCUGGAGGUCUGGAUCCUGCGCUCUGCUCUCAGCCUGCUCCUGCUGCUGUCUGCUCCCAUCAUCACCCUCCUCCUGGAGAGAUGCAGCCACGGUGCCAACGAGGCCAGACAGCCUGGAGACGUCCCUGUCCCCAUGGAGCUCUGAUGCCCUCCUGGGCUCCAUGUUAUCCAGAGCCUGCUCCACAAGACCAGAGCGUGACCCCCUCAUAUUUGCCAGACUCCCACUGCCAUUGGUCUCAAUGCAGCUGAGGCAGCAUGCCCAAGGGAUGUGCUGCCACUGCUCUGCUUCCCUUGGCUCAGACCCUGCUUUCUGCUAUUACUUUUGACUAUUACUUUAAACGGAGACGGGAUAACUUUUCACCAAUCAUAACUAAGAUAUGCUUGACUAGAGUCACUCAAGCUCCACCUAAAAGAUAGAAAAUAAUAUAAAUUGGCCUAAGAGAGAGGGGAUGGUGGGGAAGAUACCACUGUCAGGGGAGAUACCACCCCGAGGGAAUACACCAUCCUGAGGACCUCCUGACUCCUGGGAUCAGUUGAUGGGCUGAGCUUCUCUUCUACCCUCUCCCCCAUUGGGAGGCCUUUGGGUGAGAUUUGAAAUCUUGGUUAUUCUGUGUGUCUCCGCUGAAACUUUGAAAUCUCUAUAGAGUCUUUGUGCCUUUUAACGCACUUCCAGGUUGCACACCUGUGUCACCUACAUGUAUGUCACCUGUGUAUUUCAUACAUGCUAGCUUGUUUUUGCAGACAGUAACUAUGGCUGGCAAUCCAAAGAACCUGUGUAACUGUUGCUGUAAUAAAUCACACUUGAAUGCAUUGUUCCUACCCA
rnacentral:lncRNA from 1 species